rnacentral:rRNA from 1 species
CCUACGGGAGGCAGCAGUGGGGAAUAUUGGACAAUGGGCGAAAGCCUGAUCCAGCAAUGCCGCGUGAGUGAUGAAGGCCUUAGGGUUGUAAAGCUCUUUUACCAGGGAUGAUAAUGACAGUACCUGGAGAAUAAGCUCCGGCUAACUCCGUGCCAGCAGCCGCGGUAAUACGGAGGGAGCUAGCGUUGUUCGGAAUUACUGGGCGUAAAGCGCACGUAGGCGGCUAUUCAAGUCAGAGGUGAAAGCCCAGGGCUCAACCCUGGAACUGCCUUUGAAACUAGAUAGCUAGAAUCUUGGAGAGGUCAGUGGAAUUCCGAGUGUAGAGGUGAAAUUCGUAGAUAUUCGGAAGAACACCAGUGGCGAAGGCGACUGACUGGACAAGUAUUGACGCUGAGGUGCGAAAGCGUGGGGAGCAAACAGGGUUAGAUACCCUGGUAGUCCACGCCGUAAACGAUGAUAACUAGCUGUCCGGACACUUGGUGUUUGGGUGGCGCNGCUACGACAUUAAGUUAGUCCGUCCGUCGGGAGGUACGGUCGCGAGAUAAACUAACAAGAAGUAGACGGCGNGAGACGUGCCGACGACGACGACGAGGGAGGUAGG